ACGUAGGGUGCAAGCGUUAAUCGGAAUUACUGGGCGUAAAGCGUGCGCAGGCGGUUAUAUAAGAUAAAUGUGAAAUCCCCGGGCUCAACCUGGGAAGUGCAUUUAAGACUGUAUAACUCGAGUAUGGGAGAGGGUAGUGGAAUUUCCGGUGUAGCAGUGAAAUGCGUAGAGAUCCGGAGGAACACCAAUGGCGAAGGCAAUCCCCUGGCCCUAUACUGACACUCAUGCACGAAAGCGUGGGGAGCAAACAG
rnacentral:rRNA from 1 species